rnacentral:lncRNA from 1 species
CCCGAUCACCAGACCUGAACCAUGGGCUCUGAUACCAAUUUGUUAGAAUGGUUCAACACACAUACAUACACAUAGAUCUCCACACUGGUAAGAUAUUGUCCGCUUUGGGCCAAGCCCUCACGGUUUUGCUUUUGGUACCACUCCAAAGGCAUCUUACCAAUGGAGGUAUCUUAUGUGUAUAUAAACACAUGUUUAUCCCUU